rnacentral:tRNA from 1 species
AAAUAAGAAGCCAAUUAAUUGCAAUCAGUUUCGACCUGAAUCUUGGUAAUAAUUACCCUUAUUUA